GACGAACGCUGGCGGCGUGCUUAACACAUGCAAGUCGUACGGUAAGGCCCUUUCGGGGGUACACGAGGGGCGAACGGGUGAGUAACACGUGAGUAACCUGCCCACAACUUUGGGAUAACGCUAGGAAACUGGUGCUAAUACUGGAUAUGUGCUCCUGCUGCAUGGUGGGGGUUGGAAAGCUCCGGCGGUUGUGGAUGGACUCGCGGCCUAUCAGCUUGUUGGUGGGGUAGUGGCCUACCAAGGCGGCGACGGGUAGCCGGCCUGAGAGGGUGACCGGCCACAUUGGGACUGAGAUACGGCCCAGACUCCUACGGGAGGCAGCAGUGGGGAAUAUUGCACAAUGGGCGCAAGCCUGAUGCAGCAACGCCGCGUGCGGGAUGACGGCCUUCGGGUUGUAAACCGCUUUCAGCAGGGACGAAGCUUUUUGUGACGGUACCUGCAGAAGAAGCACCGGCUAACUACGUG
rnacentral:rRNA from 1 species